rnacentral:rRNA from 1 species
ACCACCAUUCACAACCAAAUAAUAAAAUUGAAGAAAAUAAUCAUCUUGCACAGUACUAUCUUAAAAUAGCCACACUACAUACACCCGCAAGGGUCACACUUUUCGUUCAUUACAGAAAAGUUUACAACUUGUCCCUUUUGCAUCAUGGAGAAGCAACACAAACCUAAUGAACUUAAUCUCCCGAACAACUAUGAGCUACUAAACCUUAAAAAUCAAUGUUUCACAAUUGAUAAACUAACUUUUAGUAGAAGUAACAAGCCUUCCAUAUAGUUAAAUAGCUGGCUUUCCCUAUAAAAGCAUCAAAGUGCUGCCUUAUAUAAUUUAAAACAACGAAACUAUUAUAAAGGUUAGCCUUCUGAGGAUUAGCUCUGAAGGUUAAUAAAAAUAAAUAAAACCCCUCACUCAGUAGUAGGCUUAAAACCAGCCAUCCAAUAACGUUCUAGUUAAUGACAUUACCUAAUAAAUAUUUAAACCAUAAUUUGAAUUCAACAAAGGAACCUAACGUAAAACAUAACACGCUAAUGAACCGGCAUUCUAUUAGUAUUAACACCCACACCUUUCUAAAAUUUAAAAAAAAUUGAGACACAAAACAAAUUAAAUAAAACUAUAUAAAGCGAACUCGGCAACAAAGUUCCCUGCCUGUUUACCAAAAACACCAUCUUCUGAACUUAUUUAUAGAAGACAAUGCCUGCCCAGUGAAAAUUUUAAACGGCCGCGUUAGCGUGAGCGUGCUAAGGUAGCGUAAUAAAUAGCCUCUUAAUUGGAGGCCAGUGAAUGGCAAGACUAGGAACACCUGUACCUUUUAUAUUAGAAAAACUUUUCAUCUAAGUGAAAAGACUUAGAUAAUAAAGGAAGACGAAAAGACCCCGCGGAACUUUACUUUUUCUUAUACCUUCGCCCAAAAGCAUAAAAGUACAAGAAGUUUGAUUGGGGCAAUCUCGGAACCUAUAAGCUUCCGAUCUUUUAAACAAAUAAUUUAAAAUUUGUUAUAGACAAAAUAGAAGUUACCCCGGGGAUAACAGCGUUAUCCAACUCAAGAGUACACAUCGAAAGUUGGGUUUGCGACCUCGAUGUUGGCUUAAGGACAUCCACAUUAGUGCAACCGCUAUGAAGGGACAGUCUGUUCGACUAUUAUAACCUUACACGAGCUGAGUUAAGACCGGCGCAAGCUAGGUUGGUUUCUAUCUCCUUUUUGAACACCAUUCUUGAUUGUACGAAAGGACCCCAAGAGGUGCACCAAACACCAGCACACCCUAAACACCUACCACUCUUUCCUAGACUAGAUUAACUCC